rnacentral:lncRNA from 1 species
CAGGUCAGACCCAGCUGCUUUUGAGUCCCGCCUGGAGAAACGCAGUGAAUUUCGGAAGCAGCCAGUGGGGCAUUCCAGGCAAGGUGAUUUUAUCAAAUGUGUGGAACAGAAGACAGAUGCCUUGGGGAAACAGUCUGUGAACAGAGGAUUCACUAAGGACAAGGUAGGUUUCUAAUUAAAUAUAGGAAAAAAAGCUUGAAGUCAUAUGGGACAUCUAGAACAAGAGGCUGCAAAUUUGAACAUAAGUACUGUGGCUCAGUGAUUUUGUGUAAGGUGAUUUUCCAGCUGUAGAAGUGAGAAAUAUUUCUAUGAACUUUGUGUCCUUGACCAUGACCCCUAGCAUAGCAGUUUAAUUAAAAAUAACAACCAAACUUUCUCCUCUUACCAGCUGCAAAGUGCCGCAGGACUCAUUGGUAAGGGUGAAGCCUUUGGGAAGUACAUGGCAACCUAAGAGAGACUCCUCAGGAACAGAACUAUGAAAACCUGUCUAGGCUUGGGGGCUCACUUUCUCUGAGCAUGUGGGUUUUCUUAUACUUGUUUUCUACUUUUGGAAAUCUGUUUCAUUGUCCUGACAUGUUUGCCACAGGCUUAGAGAUAGAGUUAAGCUGUUUUUUUUUUUUUUUAAUUAUGUGUUAAUUGCUUUUUAUUGUCUCUUUCAAGACUCUCAGUUCAAUCUUUAACAUUGAGAUGGU